AAUCACCUAGUGUUACUUCCAGGAGAUUUGAAAGGCUUUUUACUCUUACUGAAACUAACAAUUUGAUUCAACAUUUAAUGCUAGACUUUUAGCCCCUUUAUAGAUUCUGGUGGAAAAGAGAUGGCUUAUUGGAUGGGCAAGAAAGACCUUCAAGACCCUCUUCUCCUGGUUUCUCUCAGGCUCAGGAAACUAAGAAGUCUCUGUUUUCUGCAAUUAUCUCUACCAUAGUCCCAUAUAGUUAAGGACUAAUAUGGUUUGGUGGUAUCCCCGGCUAAAUCUCAUCUUGAAUUCCCACAUGUUGUGGGAGGGGCCUUGUGGGAGGUCACUGAAUUAUGAGUCUGGGUCUUUCCCACGCUGUUCUCAGGAUAGUGAAUAGGUCUCAUGAGAUCUGAUGGUUUUUAAAAUGGGAAUUUCCCUGCACAAGCCCUCUUCUCUUGUCUGCCACCGUGUGAGACACGCCUUUCACCUUCCACCAUGAUUGUGAGGCCUCCCCAGCCAUGUGGAACUGUAAGUCCAUUAAACCUCUUUCUUUUGUAAAUUGUCCAGUCUCGAGUAUGUCCUUAUCAGCAGCAUAAAAGUGGACUAAUACAAGGAUUUUCUAGACCACUUUGGCAGCCAUCACUGAAACCGGCCUGAAAUAUAUAUAACGGUCCUUCUCUUAUGUUCAAGCCAAUUUGAAUGGAAGGAGAUUUCUUUAUUUCAGAUAUCCUCACUAAUUAAUGCUCUACAAUAGCAUAAAUUUCUUGUGGUCCAAAUCCUUUUCUUUUAAAAGUCACUAAGUGGCCAGGCAUGGUAGCUCACACUUGUAAUCCCAGCACUUUGGGAGGCCGAGGCAGGUGGAUCACCUGUGGUCAGCAGUUCGAGACCAUCCUGGCCAACAUAGGGAGCCUUCAUCUCUAAAAGAAAUAUAUAAUUCAUGAAUACUAACAGUUUAUGGUUUUUUUAGUCAUACAGUUCAAAUGCCUUCUACUAAUUUUAAACAGCAUCUGGAUUUUAAAGGAGCAAAAUUCAAAAGAAAAAAGCUUGAAAAUCCUUCACUGGAAAAACCUGCCCAUUAAAAAAAAAUAAGACCAAAGCUCAAUUCUCACCUGGUUCCAAAAACCAUUUGAAUUCAGCAUAUCAUGUGUUGGAUUUUAGAAUGGAGUAAGCAGAGAAACAGAGGGAAAACAGCAACAUGUGUAAGUGAUCACCAAAAAAAUAGCCCGUUUCCAAUACUGAAAAAAACAUGGCUUGUACAUAGGUCACAGAACAAAUCAGACGAAACCAAAGUGCCAAGUCACAACUUAAAGGAAAAGAAUCCACGAGGGACCUUCGUGAGCAGAUGGAUUAGAAAGGCUAAGUUUCAACUCAUGAAGACUUGAACCUACGCUAUCUGAAAUAGCCAGUCAAUAACAUUAAUAAUAAUCAUAAGACUCUGAAAACUACAGCUGGGGGGAUUAAGCCAAAUGGAGAAGCAAGGGACUGAACAAGAGAAGGGACUUUCCACAGAAUUACUGAAAACAACAAUCUGGUAAUGAGGGAGUUGCUUCUUUCUGCUGGAGUGAAAUUCCUCUACAAUGUUUUUCCUUUGUGGCUGCAUUUUCUAGCAUCAGUAGGAGUACCUUCUGAAGAGAGUAAGUCCAGUUCACUAUUGAAUCUGCAUUCAAAGAUGCCAGUAAGCAGGUCACCAGCUCGAACAGACCCUUCUUGCUCUGUCCCAAGGACAAAGAAGAUGGCUGCUGCGUUCCCCUCUGUGAAGAAUUUGCUGGCCUUUGAAAGAAACGGUCAGUAGAAGAUUCACUGGAUAGUGAAAUUCUUUGUGCCUGGGAUGUGUUCAGUCUGCUUUUCUGCUGCACCAGGAAAGAAGGUCCAGUGUCUUAUUUCAUUCUGGAGCUUUUUGAAACUUUUUACUCUGUACUUUAAUUUUGGCAACCUUGGACUGAUGGGGUUUGUAGAUAUUAAUUAUCAAAUUGUUAUUUAUUAGCUGAUAUUCUUUCAAUUCAAUAAAUAUUUUAAAUCCCUUGUGGUGUCUGUUGAACACGUUACCAGGAAACUGAAAUAAUAUCUUCAGUCUUCCUUUUCUUUCCUCCACAAAAUAGAAAGAAGAUAACUAUACAUAGCUGAUAGUUAUUUUCUCUCAGAAAUUCAAAUAUAUUAUUUUUAAGUGCUUCUGUAAAUAUUUGAACUGAAUGCAAUUUAAAAAAUAAAAAUCUAAAGACCAAUACAAUUUUAUCUCAUAAGAUUUUUAUUUUUGACCUUUAAGUCAAGAAUUAAUAUCUCUAUAUUAGCUGCAAAUGGAUUUAAUUACCUAUAUCUGAUUCCAUGUUAAUAAUAUUAAACCCAACAUAGAAAUAUUGCAAUUAUGGGUGUGGUUUUUACCUAAGUAUUCCCAGGAGCAUUUGGGACCAGGCAGAAUAUGGAAAUGUUAAAGGUUACAGCUCAGGAGCUAAAGGUGCGCCUAUAAUGAACUAAAUCAAAGUUCAAUGAAAUAAAUUCAAGAUAUUUAUUGAUGUUUAUUAGGGACCUUAAUGGAUCCACUUUAUUUACUUGCAGGAUAAUUGGAGUAUAGCAGUGUAAGUAGAAGUUUCAGUAGAAGGAAGCAGCCUAUUGUUAAAGACCAGUUGUUCACUUUGCUGAUGAUUAAACACUGCUCUAAUAUAAAGGCAAAAAAUAUUUGCUGUGUUUUCCUUUUUUCUGUUUAGGCUUAAAGGAAACAUAAGUAGCUGUAGUAUUGUGAUAGAGUAGACACCUAAAGUCAUCAGUUUUAGGUAAAAGGCUAGUGAGGCCACUCCUGAAAUUUUGCGUUGGAGGGGCUACAAAUUACUAUUAUCCUUCUGAUUCCAGUUGUGUGUGUUACAAGUUUAUUUUCUGCAACUUUGAGGACUUGAAAUUUUCCUUAAUGCAUUUGUUCAACUUCUUUCCAAGAAAAUUAUGCUAUUAAUUUAAUUACUAAGAUCUUUAUUUGUAUUUAACUUAUUAAAUAUAUGUGUUAGGAAUUGCUUAGUAGAGUAUUAUUUAUGGUUACAUAAGAAAAACACUGCUAAUAAAUAUAACUAGGAAAGAGGGAAGGCUGCUGGGAUUCAUCACAUACAGCAUAUAGCCAAGGUAUUGUAAAAGCAGUCAUUUAUUAUAUGUGACUGUAUUUACAUUUUUAAUAUUUGUAUUGUCCGGAAGGAUUUUCUUGCAAAAGAGUGGUAAAAGAGGCCAAUAAUCAUUAAUAUAACUAGAUAAGUUCCUUGCAGAAAGGCAGAAAAAUGCUCCAGAAACAUCAUAUGCUAAAUUUUCUAGGAACUGUGGAUAGCUGUGGAUAGCUGGGUUUCAGCCAAUUUUUGACAGCAUAUAAAUAAUUUUGAUAUAUACGAAAGAAACUUUGGAAAAGUUCAGAUGAGCUUUUCCUUGGAGACAUGACUGCACAAAGUUGGGGUGCUGAUUAUAGUUCAUUCAGUGCAAAAUGAUCCCCUAUUCCCAGCUUUAUACUCCAGUAGUAAUUACAUGGGCUCCCAGAAUGGGGCUAAAAAUGAGGCCUCUUUUUAUACAGUAACUUGGCUGUCACAUUUGUCGCAGAGAAAAAAGAAAACCGUUGAUGCGAGUUUGUAACAGGGUUCAAACACUUUUCAGGUUCACCAUUGUUUUUAUUUUCCAAUAGAAUUUCGUUUGACUCUUGCCUACACUUCUAUCUAUUGUUAUCUCUCACUUCUGCUAGCCUCAGCCUGCUUUCUACAUAUACUCCACUCAAAAGAGGCUGAAGCAAUUCUGAAACGUGUUUAUACAAUUAUUCACUGACCACAUCUGUGUCUACACAUGCAGUAUGAAGUAAAGAUUUCUCCCAAUUAUAUUCAGACUCUAACAAAAUGGCAAAUCACUCUGUUAGAAUAACCACUUAAUAACUUCAUUCUGCUCCUAUGUGUCAAUUUAAGUGCAAAUAAAAUUGAUGCCUGAGAAA
rnacentral:lncRNA from 10 species